rnacentral:rRNA from 1 species
AGGUCCGCCUGCCAGUGACUUUGUUUACGGCCUCGGUACCCUGACCGCGCAAAGGUAGCAUAAUCACUUGUUCUUUAAAUAGGGACUUGUAUCAACGGCAUCACGAGGGCUAGACUGUCUCCCCUCUUUAAUUAGUGAAUCUGAUCUCUUCGUGAAAAAGCGAAGAUAGCUAUAUAAGACGAGAAGACCCCAUGGAGCUUAAAACCGCACAACACUUUCUUCAACAUAACCUUUAAAAAAUAAGACUCUUUGUUAAUCAGUUUUCGGCUGGGGUGUCCAAGGAGCAUAACUAAACCUCCAUGACGAACAUUUCAUCUACCCAAGAACCACAAUUCGAAGAAUCAGUAACCUGACGUAAUAUGACCCGAUAAUUCGAUCAACGAACCAAGUUACCCUGGGGAUAACAGCGCAAUCCACUCCAAGAGCCCCUAUCGACAAGUGGGUUUACGACCUCGAUGUUGGAUCAGGGUAUCCCUGUGGUGCAGCCGCUACUAAAGGUUCGUUUGUUCAACGAUUAAAACCCUACGUGAUCUGAGUUCAGACCGGA